AUGGAUAUGCAGCGUGUGCUCCAGUCAACGCGGCAGCAUGUACAGCACAGAGACGGUGGGCCGAAGGGCCAGUCGCACCUGCUGAUGAGAGAGCGGCGGCCUCAGCAGCCCCGGCGUCUCCCGGCCCCUGUAGCUGACGGAAGGCGCGUCACCGCGCCGGGGAGACGGCCAGGCGUCACCGGGGCCGCGGGACACUUCCGGGGCGGCGCUCGGCCUCGGCCAUGGCCAUGGAGGAGUCGGAGCUACAGCUGCGGGUUCGGCGGGUUACAGAUAAAUUCACUGAGAGCAUGUACUUUCUGGCUAACGAGCCAUCAGUUGCCCUCUACCGUCUCCAGGAGCACGUCCGCCGGUCUCUUCCUGAACUGGUACAGCACAAGACAGACAUGCAGGGCGUAGAAGAACAGUGUCAGGGAGCGAUAUACACCGUUGAGUAUGCCUGCAGCGCAGUGAAGAGUAUGUCAAACAGUGCGGCCUAUUUCACCAACAUCGAGGGGCUGCUGCGACAAGCCAUCAGCAUCAAGGACCAGAUGAGCUCUUUACAGAGCCGCAGGCAUUGACAGUAAAUACAAAGAAACACAAUAGAAUCAAUGAAAGGCCCCACCCAGCAACAAGAUGGACUACCACUAUGCAAAGACAACAAACCGUGGAAAUCCAAAAAGAAAGAAAAAUAAUAAUAAAUAAGCAAUAAAUAUCAAGAACACGAGAUGAAGAGCCAUUGAAAUGUUGGAUGGUGUAUUCAGUGAAUAACGGCCGUCAAGCUCAUCCCAGCCCACCGGAACCAACAGGAUCAGACACUCCCAGCUUUUGAGGUUGGACAAUUAGUGGCACUGCUGCAUGUGUAUGUGUGUAUAUAUACACACAUGUCUGUGUAGGUGCACACGCGUGUGUGUAUGCACAUGGGUACUAGGAUAUAAGAGACAUGCUUCUUGUAGGUAGUUAAAGGAACUGGUUUCAUCAGCACGGAAGACCAUCCCCACUGCACAUGUUCCUCCUCCUGUCAGCAGCGUGGUUCUCUCUCGCAAACAGUGCCUGGGGGAGCGUUUGAUUGCCAACUGACUGUCGGUGCUAAUGGGGACGGUACAGAGGACAGCAUUCCCCUGUUCCUCCUGCCUGUCAAGACCCUCUCCACCAUAUCUGAAGGCACUGUGCAAAGCCCUGGCCUCGGUGAUGUUAUGGCCACUCUGCCCAGAAAUCCUUACUGCUAUCUCAAUGUGGUUUGGGCUGUUCUGUGACAAAGGGCCAAGUCCCUGUGAUCAUGUGGUUUUGGUGGGCUAGCACUAAUGAUGUAUAUAUACUCUGUUUUAAAUAAAUGGAUGAUAAAGGCAGACUGCACUUGGAGUAUUGUGUAGUU